GCCAGAGGAGCACAGGUGAAGGCAAUUCACCUGUGCUGCUGGAAGGGGUGGAGCCAGGCUUCACCCCUCCUAGACCUAUUUAAGAGCUGGCUACCAGUGGGGAAGGAUCUUGGCUGGAGAUUCUUCCUUCUGGUGUUUUGUGGUGAGCUCAGCAUAAGGAGUCCCUACUGCUGUCAGUACUUACACAUUUCAAGUCCACUGGAACUUCUCAGGUGUGACUGUACACCAUUUCAACCACUUCUGCAAUUUUCCUUCUCAUAGACUGCUUCACACCUUUCUAGGAACAGUCUGAAUCUGGGUGCUCCUGUAAUUGCUUCCCCAGAUUUGUUGGAUCCUACUGGCAGAAGACAUGAAAACCCUACUGGGAGAUCUCUGUACUAUGUUUUUUUUCUUGGCAUAAAGCACCUAGACUACAAGAGUGCCAUUUAUCUCUUCUUUUUUGCACUGUUCUUCACAUCCCAUAUUUCUUAAUUUUCUUCUGAAGUCUCAUCUCUUCAAACUUUGUAACUAGCGACAAGUAACGUUAGCACCACCCCUCCAAUUCUUUAUCUGGUCUUGAUAGCGUGAAAAGGAAUCACUUCUUUCCCUUUUUACAUCAAAGAAAGUUCAGUUUCCAACACAAGCACAUCUUAUGCUGCUCAGGGAACCCACACAGACCUGUCUCACCUCUUCUCUAUUUUGUGCAGCUGAUGUUCCUCCAACGUCAACUACCACUCAGCAGAGCAGCCAAGACUUGCUGUUGAUAUGUGAGCUAAACCCUAUAAGACAAUCAAGCCAGAAGUUGUACAGCCACCCUUAUUAUUUUCUUGGCAGGAGCAGCAAGGUGACAGGGAGGUUGCUCUCCUAGUCAUACCUAAAAUAAAUAAAUUGAUAGAUAAUGCAGUGUGUGUAAGAUGCAUUUUCCAGCGAUGUCUUCAGUACAUUUUUGCAUUGUUUUGUUUUUUAGGACUGGUUUGUUUUCUUUAGGACUGGUGCAGUGGCACAUUGCAUUACUGCAAACUGGUGCUGAUGCUCAGAGGCUGUGCCCACUCUGUCAGGAUUCAAAAUAUUACCAGAAUCUGCAAGUAAGCAAUAAGAUAUGACAAGGAGUGUGAUACUGUAACAUAACAAUGUACCUCUAGGGACACCUGUGAGGAAGGAGGUGAAACUGAGUGUAUUCAGCUGCCCAAGGUGCAAUUUCUAUCUCAAAAUAUAAUGUAAUAAGAUGUGAUAAUAAAAAGGCACAGAACUGAAACAAACCAUGUCUAUUUUAGAAUGUCAACUUAUUUAUGCAGUAUACUAAAAAAAAAGUUUUUCAUUUCCUGCCUUCUAAACAAACUACUUAUAAAAUUAGCAGAUAUAAUUUGAAAUAAUGUUUAUAAAGCCAUUAGCCAUGGUAGUCCAGGAUUAUAAUUUCCUCACAUGAGUUCUUAUCCAAGAAACACUUACACAAAAAAAAAAAAACAUUUCCAGUAUCAAACUGGAUCAAUGCUAGAACUGGGCUCAUUCUUUUGUCUCAUUUUAAAUAUCAGAGCUAUAGGAGCACCCAUAAAAAAACAUAAUAUACAAUCAGGCAGUGAGUGGUGUGUUUCAGCAGUGGUGAUGGUGACAGAAAAGCCAAGCCACAUUCUGGUCAGGCAAGCAGAUUUUUACAAGCUCAGCAUGCAUGCUCUUGUGAAAAUGCACAGCUAAUAGUGGUGACUGUGCUGGAAAAAUAGUGCUUUGUAGUGUAGAAUUUGUUCUAUCAGAUGCUGCUAUUGUGCUCUUUGUAUUUAUUGUAGUUUCUCUGGAAAUAAAUAGGAGGCUCUACUUUUGGAGCAACCCACAUACAUUCAUUCCAGUGUUAAAUGGAAAACAAACAAAAAGAAAGCUGGAAGGCCAAACUGAUGCAUAGAAAAUAACUACUGUAGGCUUCACUGUGAUUAUACUUAUUUAAACACUGAAAUCCCAUUGGAAUGAAAAUCUCAGCUCCAGUAGUAGCUCCUGUUACUAGCCGUGCCUCAAGCCAUUUUUUUAAGCAUGUGCAUGAAUGUAACCCCAUGAACAGCUAAGUUCCAUUGAUUUCAGUGAGAGCACUCACAGCCAAAAAGCUCGUAACAGAGUCUUGCAUUGGGGUAGCUGUUAUUUCUUCUUGCCAGUAUUUUAUCAUUCUGAGCUGUCUAGUUUAGCUUGUGGAUGACUUCAACUCAGCAUGCAAGGAUGCACUGUCCUUAUUUUUGCUCUUUACAAACUUUGAGAUGUGUUAUUCAAUUUUGCUCUCUAGCAUAAGUCUCAGCAUACCUGCACAAAGCAAAAUGUAAUUUCUCUGUCUUUUUCCCCCUGCAAAGAUGGAAUCUGCUACCUUGACUCAUGAGCUCAGCAACGCAGGAUUAUGUCAGUCCUCAGGUGGGAGAUCUUCUUGGGGAAAAGAGGUCAGAAAGUGUUUGUGCCUUAAUGGACAGCAUCAUUACUUCAAGUGCUGACGCUUUGUUCCUGCUUGGCAAUGUUUCUAUCAGUGGAUUGUGCUAUAGGAAGAGUCAAAUGAAGGAAUAAAACUGAGGUUUUGGCUAUUUGCCUCCCUCCAUAGAAAUUUUCAUAAUAACAUCCCCAGUGUUAUGUCUGGUUUCAAAUUGGGAUAAUUGCAUUCUGCCUACCUGAAUUUCUGUUCUGGAGUACAGUUGGAUAAACUAACACUUGCUGCCAGAAUUCUGAUGUUGUUUAGGGGCACAAUAUACUUUUAAAUAAUUGUAGUUCUCCUCUCCAGAGACAGGUUUGAGACAAUUCACAUGCAGCAGUGGUAAAUAUUAGAACAAUACAUAUAAAUAAAGGAAUUUCAGGAGUGGUUGAAGUGAUUCCUUUACACAUGCUCACACACAAGCACAUGACCCUUCAAGAUGAGAGGCAGUAUAUGAGACACUAUGUUGUAAGACAUUGCAGUGUUAUUAUGCUUUGUAUGGAGGAUGCAAUAUAAAAUAUUAAUGUAUUUCAUUAAAAUGACUCUUAAUGUCAAUAUGUAGUGUGACUACGCCGUGAUUUCUUAUGUUAGUAGGUGCUUUACUAGAAGUUAUAACUUUACAUUAUUCAACCACAAUCGUCUCUGUAGCAAAUGUAUUGUCUCUGUUAUCAACUUACAUAUGCCCCAUGAAAAACCAUUGCUAUGGUGAUGAGUAUUUUAUGGUACAGUAUUCACCUAAUUAUAAACUGUUCUCUAGCAGAGGUGCUAACAUUAUUUUCAACAGCAAAAUCCAUUUUCAAAAUUAAAAUAUAUGCAAAUAAUUGAGCCAUAACCUUCAGCAAACAGCAUUUUUGAUUGAUAAUUAUUUCUGUGUAUUAAAAAUAUUAGAGGUAAAUGUAAAAGUUAUUGCAAUGGGUAUUUAAGAGGGCUUAUUUUUAUAACUCUAAGGCGAUGUGUACCUUUGUUAUUUGCUGACAGACUAUAUGCCGUUAAAUUGGAAAAGUUACAAUGGAAAUAAAAUUAUCUUAUUUCUACAUGAAGCAUAAGAUCAUGCAAAAGAAAAAUGCAAGAUCUGGGUUUAUUAAGCAUUUAUUUCUAAACAGCAUCAUCCCUAGAAAAUGGCAUAUUUAGUUCUCUGACUUUAUUACCACUUCCAUGCAGCUCAAUGUUUUUUCUUCAAAUCAUUAUGAGGAUUAUACUCAGUCUGAGAAUUUGACACCUGCUGUUUCAAAACUCAAUCACAAAUGUUUCAGGAUAUAAAUCAGUUAGUACAGAAGAGAUGAAUAAGAUUCAGACUACAAUGUAGGAAGAUUUAAAAUAAAUAAAUAAAUAUUAUUUGCAGUAAGUAAAAUAAGUCAAAACAGUUAUCCAGAAUCUGGAGUGAAUAUGCUGCAUGUGUUUAAACUAGUAUUAUCAAAUAUACAACAGAAUGGUAAAAAGAAAAAAAAAAAAAUGAAACAAAACUCCUACUAGCAGAGGAAGUAAUAUUGUUUGAAUCCCUUAACAGUCAGUACGAAAGCAGCAAGACUACAGGGUACAGAUGAUGGUUGGAUGGUUAAGCUCACAACACCAGAAACGCUUGAAUGAGAAAGAAUGUAACAUCACUAGGUGAUAAUGGGUAAGAAAAAUGUUUGUUCUUUUUAUUCAUUAAAUAGGAAAAUUAUACAGUACUCGAUAUAAUUUAGCAUCUACGAUGCUAUAAUAAACAUGAUAGU